UCCGUGUUAACCACGGCAGUCUCUUUAGAGAGCCCAACUUAAUGAUGGCAACUAAAGACAAGGGUUGCGCUCGUUGCGGGACUUAACCCAACAUGUCACCACACGAGCUGACGACAGCCAUGCAGCACCUGUCUUCCUGCUGUAUUGCUACAGAAGCCCUAUCUCUAGGGUUGUCAGGAGAUGUCAAAUCCAGGUAAGGUUCUUCGCGUUGCUUCGAAUUAAACCACAUGAUCCACCGCUUGUGCGGGCCCCCGUCAAUUCCUUUGAGUUUUAGUCUUGCGACCGUACUUCCCAGGCGGGGUACUUAUUGCGUUAGCGCCGGUUCGGCGGGGGUCAAGACCCACCAAACCUAGUACCCAUCGUUUACAGCGUGGACUAC
rnacentral:misc_RNA from 1 species